ACCUGGCUGGCUCAGUCGGAAGAGCAUGCGACUCUUGAUCUCAAGGUUGUAAGUCUGAGCCCCACGCCGGGUG
rnacentral:tRNA from 1 species